AUAUAUAUAUAUAUAUAUAUUUAUAGAGUUCGGCUAUGGUGCUUGUAAAAGCAUGAAACACUUUGUGCUUGUAAAUUUUUUACCAUUAGAUUUAUGUCUUUGAUUAUUUUCAACCGUUAGAUUAUACUAUUCAACCAACCACCCACUCAACCCUAGGGGGCCCACGUCAUCCUAACCGCACAUGCAUUUCUUAAUCCAAUGUCUAAAAAUCUAUACGCACCAACAACUUGGUACUUUUAAAAACAUAGAAGCUCAAUUCUAUAUAUAU
rnacentral:lncRNA from 1 species